AUGUUUUGCAUAUGGUCAGACAGGAAUCGAGUGCUGAAAGGGAAGGAAAAAUGUAGCUGUGUGUGUUUGUGUGCGUGUGUGCUCGUGUAUAUGCAUAUUUUCCCAGUAUAUUUUUUAGUGAGAUUUGUUAUAUUUUUUUGCCUUUUGCAUGUUGGUGCUGCCCGUUUCUGAAGUUAAUUGUGGAUAACUAAAACACUUUAGCUUUUAUUUGCAGGUAGUGGUAAGACGUUCACCA
rnacentral:misc_RNA from 1 species